AUACGUAGGUGGCAAGCGUUGUCCGGAAUUACUGGGCGUAAAGCGUGCGCAGGCGGUUUUGUAAGACAGUGGUGAAAUCCCCGGGCUCAACCUGGGAACUGCCAUUGUGACUGCAAGGCUGGAGUGCGGCAGAGGGGGAUGGAAUUCCGCGUGUAGCAGUGAAAUGCGUAGAUAUGCGGAGGAACACCGAUGGCGAAGGCAAUCCCCUGGGCCUGCACUGACGCUCAUGCACGAAAGCGUGGGGAGCAAACAGGAUUAGAUACCCUGGUAGUCCACGCCCUAAACGAUGUCAACUGGUUGUUGGGGAUUUAUUUUCUCAGUAACGAAGCUAACGCGUGAAGUUGACCGCCUGGGGAGUACGGCCGCAAGGUUAAAACUCAAAUGAAUUGACGGGG
rnacentral:rRNA from 1 species